CAGAGGAUUUUCGCACUCGGUGAUGUUGCUUUGAGCUAUUCAAAAUGAUGCCUACCUCGGAAAAUAAACUGUGAAUGUUUAUUUCAAUAAGCUGGCCAUAGUUAAAUCUAAGGAUUCAAAAAAAGUCGUAUGGAUAAUUUUUGAGCAAGCGCCUUGCAUAAGGAUGUUUCACCAGUACCGGUUGGCUCUGUGAAAGUUUUAAAGAAAAGCUCAACUCAUUCUUCUGGAUAUUUGCAGUAGAUCACGUGAAGACAAACAUGAUGUACUAUGAGUGGCUGUUGUUUGAUUGGCUUCGUUGUUUGUUUUCGAGUGACGUCACAGCGGUACACAAACAUGGUAGCCUUGACGUCAUUUAAUAGUUGGCUCGUUAAAACACCAUCACGUCUCUCGCGUUUCAUUCUAUCUGAUUGUAGCUAACUUAUUCUUAUCAAUACUUUGAUAUGUGAUUUUUCAAUCUUGAA